UAGAUGAUAACGUUGAUGAUGAUAACGUUGAUGAUGAUAACGUUGAUGAUGAUAACGUUGAUGAUGAUAACGUUGAUGAUGAUGACGAUGAUGCU
rnacentral:tRNA from 1 species